rnacentral:misc_RNA from 1 species
AAGUCGUAACAAGGUCUCCGUUGGUGAACCAGCGGAGGGAUCAUUACCGAGUUUACAACUCCCAAACCCCUGUGAACAUACCUAUCGUUGCUUCGGCGGACCACCCCAACCCCUUCGGGGCGCGGGGCCCGCCAGAGGACACCCAAAAUUCAAAUGUAUUUUGCCUUUACAAAUUUAUUCUGAGUGGAAUUUUUAAAUAAAUCAAAACUUUCAACAACGGAUCUCUUGGCUCUG